ACCCUUUAAUGUUUGAUGUUCUAACGUGGACCCGUGAUCCGGGUUGCGGACAGUGUCUGGUGGGUAGUUUGACUGGGGCGGUCUCCUCCUAAAGAGUAACGGAGGAGCACGAAGGUUGGCUAAUCCUGGUCGGACAUCAGGAGGUUAGUGCAAUGGCAUAAGCCAGCUUGACUGCGAGCGUGACGGCGCGAGCAGGUGCGAAAGCAGGUCAUAGUGAUCCGGUGGUUCUGAAUGGAAGGGCCAUCGCUCAACGGAUAAAAGGUACUCCGGGGAUAACAGGCUGAUACCGCCCAAGAGUUCAUAUCGACGGCGGUGUUUGGCACCUCGAUGUCGGCUCAUCACAUCCUGGGGCUGAAGUAGGUCCCAAGGGUAUGGCUGUUCGCCAUUUAAAGUGGUACGCGAGCUGGGUUUAGAACGUCGUGAGACAGUUCGGUCCCUAUCUGCCGUGGGCGCUGGAGAACUGAGGGGGGCUGCUCCUAGUACGAGAGGACCGGAGUGGACGCAUCACUGGUGUUCGGGUUGUCAUGCCAAUGGCACUGCCCGGUAGCUAAAUGCGGAAGAGAUAAGUGCUGAAAGCAUCUAAGCACGAAACUUGCCCCGAGAUGAGUUCUCCCUGAGACUUAAAGUCUCCUGAAGGAACGUUGAAGACGACGACGUUGAUAGGCCGGGUGUGUAAGCGCAGCGAUGCGUUGAGCUAACCGGUACUAAUGAACCGUGAGGCUUAACCUUACA
rnacentral:rRNA from 5 species